CUGAAAGUCACAUGUUGCAUUUAAAACUACUGAUUUAAGUUGUUAGUGUUUUGUUUUUCAUUUAUAUCAGAAAUGGAACAAUAAAACAGUUUAAUAUUUGCUAUUUAUUGGUUAUAAAGCAAUAACAUGAAAGCAAUAACAUAAAAAUAAGAAUUUUGAUUUCAUUGCAUCUCCAUUUACUAUUUUUCUAAAAUGUGGAAAACCAUCACAGAUGCGUCCAAACUUCUGCGAUAUGUUUUGAAAUUAUCUUUGAUUUUUCUUGAACAGAUGUCUCUUCGGUUUUAAUGCAAAUGAAGUGGUACAUGACGUUUGUUUGCUUUAUUAGUCAGCUCGCUCGGUGGACAUCUAAUGCUUCCUGCUUCAAGUCUUCCUAUGCUUUUUGUGUUGUAAAAUGACACAGAUCCAUUAUAUGUAACACCUUCCUUCAAGGUCGUCACGUUUCAGCAGCUUUCGAGUGAAAUCCUACUUGUAUUUGCACAAAUGCUAACGAUUUUUCUCCCUCAAGCUUUUAAUUUCCACAGCCGGCCUUUUAUUUGUCGUGGCUGGCGCAGUUAGUUGGCAGAUUAAGAGACACAAAGGAGGUUUGCUCUAGAGCAGAGAGGAGGACAGCAACACACCUGUCCACACAAACACAGAACAAAGAGCGCCUCUCUGCACAAUCCCAGCCAACACAAUACAAAAAAUCCCAAGCUGUGGCAAUGCAUGAUCCUCGCUGCGUUUCUCAUACCAGGACAGAGAUACACAAACUCCCUCGGGUGUGUUCAGAAGCAUCCCUUUCGUAACUCCACUAUAUUCUCCAUAUAGGGUGUGGUCUUCAUCCGGGACUGGAUUGAAUUUCUGAGACUACACCUCAGUCUUUCUCAGUUUACAGAUGUGAACUAAAUGCAUGUUUCCUCUCUACAUCUGGAUGAAAUUUUACAUAUUAGCAAUAAACAGGCCUGUGGCAUCGAGGAGUCAGAAUGGGAUUUUUAAUAGCAGACUUAAACCUUUAACAUCCGUUCCUCCCGAUCCUGAACAUUUGGUUACAUCCUGUAAACGUUUAAGAAGUGGGAAACUUUUGGAUGAAGUCAUUGAGACUCUGAGCAGCCGAAGCUGUUAGUCAAGAACACAAUGUACAAAGAGGGAAAUGCAGUGAGCUGUGCUGCUGGCAGAGCUGGGUAAGGUUUUACAGCUUCCACAGGGCACUUCUGAGGGUCUUAUUUUAGUGACCAACACCACAAAACUCAGAAUGCUUGAAUUUCCAAUCAUGCAAGUAUAAUAAUAGUGCUUUUGUUCAAAACAUGUGAUCUUAGAGCUGAUAUACAGACUCACCCUACCAAAAAAAAAAAAAAAGGAUGCAUGCUUCCCAUUUCAUCCAGAAUUCUCUGUUAAUUUAUAUAAAAUUGCAUUUGUAACACUUAACAAGUGUGGAAGCAGAAAACAAAGAAACUUUGAUUGUUAGUAUAUUUUAAACUAGUUUAAUAAACUCUUACCUUGCAUCUUCACUCCAGUCACGAUUAAACUUCCAAGGACGAAAAUCCACAAGUAUGACAUCAUUGUGGCUUGAAUGAAACUGAGCUCAAUCGUGUGUUAAAGGCAGCUUGCUUGAUCGCUUUUAGCGCAUGUAGAGUUCAGGUGUAAGUGUGAAUCGUGUUCGUGCGCAACUUUCCCGCAACCUUUUGUUGCACAAACUUUACUGGGUGUGCAGCUCUGAAUCCACCGCCCACCCACAUGUGGGAUUGACUUGUGUAGGAUCCAAUUGCAGGUCUGUCUCGCUUGUUUCUCACUGAAGUCUCGUGCACACGGAGGAUGCACGAGGCGUCCCUCCCCCGCCCGACGCUUCUGGGUUGAACAAAAGCGCGCACCGUGCACAUGGGUUUCCACGCUAUUUAUCUCAGUGCAUGACGUUACUGUUAUUGAUCCAUUCUUGUUUUCCUUUAGAAAUCGCGUUUAAAUUCAUAGCAAGGUUUCUUGACCUCCUAGAACGAUUUUGCAGUAAACACCCACCCAGUCCCCCGAAUGCGUCUCGAGAGGUUUCCUAAACGUUGAACUUCCCCAGAGCGACGGAACGCAAUGAACGGAGUUGGUUUAAAACCUAGCAAGCUGGCUUCUUUUUAGACAGCGGUUUGGGGCUUCAGCAUUGGUUUUCAGUUUGCUAGAAACCCACCUAUGCCAGAAGUGCUCGGGCUUUGAGAGCAGAGCAGCUCCAUUCAUCCGUUUCGGACCGCUGGGGAAGUUCCCUCUGUAACGUUCAGGAAACCUUUCACUACUGAACUUCAGCAGCACGCACUGAGCUCGAGCUCAGGAGCUGAAUGUCAUAUCUGUCUUCAGGCAGGUUUCGUCGCUCAGAACGCAAACUGUGCUAAUUCUUUGUUUGCACGGGUAACUUAUCAGAAGGGCGCGGUGCGGAUGAGGCUUGAGCUGCCAACGUUAGUAAACAAACAGUUCUAGUUCUUUUCUUUUUUUUAAGUAAAAGCACAAAAAGCGUACACUGCAGCAAGAAAAAACUUUACUUUUAGUACAUUACACAACUAACUACAAAGAAACUAAAGUAACACAUUAAAUAGACUAAACGUGAAAUUUUGAUGUACAAAGAAGUAUGAUUUCUCGAAAGACAAACUUCAGUAAUCAUUAUUUUAUCAUUAGAAUUUCAACUGGCCGUAAAUGCAUGUGCGUGAGCAGAGGUAACCAUAGCAACAGUAUAUGACUUGAGUGCUUUACUAUAGCAUCAUCAACAGUGACAAUAUUUGACACUUUAUAGUCUUACUUAUCAUAAACUAUCUAAAAAAAGUCGAGGGGUGUGUGUUUUCACCUGGCAUUAUUUAUAGGCUAGCAAACAGAAUUUGCAUCUCUUCAGGAGGUAACCAUAGCAACAGUACCAGGCUUGAGUGCUUUAUGAAAGUGUCAUCAUCGGGUGUAACUCUGACAAAACAGUGUUAAUAUUUGACACUUUAUAGUUUACUCUAUCAUAAACGUAUCUCAGAAAGUCAGUACAAGUCAGUCAGGGCGGAUAAUUUUACCUGGGAUUAAACAGUACGCGAGUUGAGCGAUUUAUCGGCUAAAACGUUAACAAAACAGUACCAUUAUUUGACACUGUAUAGUGUUAUUUAUCACACAUUUAUCUAAAAAAGUCAGUACAAGUUAGUCAGAGCGCAUAAUUUUACCUGGCAUCAAACAGGCUCUCGCAAAUGGGAAUUGUCAUCGCUGAAGAGGUAACCAUAGCAACAGUAUGUGACUUGAGCGAUUUAUCGGCUAAAAUGUUAACAAAACAGUGCCGUUAUUUGACACUGUAUAGUGUUAUUUAUCACAAAAAGUCAGUACAAGUUUUUCAGGACACAUAAUUUUACAUGCCAUCAAACAAGCUAUUGCUAUGGCUGAAGAGGUAACCAUAGCAACAGUAUGUGACUUGAGCGAUAUAUCGGCUAACACAUUAACAAAAAUGUGGCACUAUUUGACACUGUAUAGUGUUAUUUAUCACAAAUGUAUCUCAAACAGUCAGUGCGAGUUUGUCAGGACGCAUAAUUUUACAUGGCGUCAAACAAGCUGGAAUUGCUAUCCCUGAGGAGGUAACCAUAGCAACAGUACGCAACUUGAGCGCUUUACAAUAAUCGGAUGGAACGUUAAGGAAAGUGCCAAUAUUCGACACUUUAUAGUUUUACUUAUAAAAAUAUCUAAGAAAGUCAGUAUUUGUUAAAGAAAAAAUGUUGGCUAACUGGAUUCUGCAAAAAAAAAAAAAAAAAAAAAUAGAUACAAUUAUUAACCCUUGAAAGUAUAGCUAUAUCAGUGGCCACAGUAGUACUAAUAUCUCAGAUAAAGUAAUAAUCGUAUUUAUGUCAUAAAUGAAACAAAUGUGAGUUUUUACACUUCAUAACGUUCUUUGCUCUUUUGUUUGUUCAUUUCUAUCACUGAGGGUCAACCUCUGUGGUCUCCCCCCUUCACACGGGGCUUCAAUGGACAGUUCCAUCUGAUGAAGUUGAAAAAGGCGAAUCAACCUGUUCCACACCAGAGCCAGAGCCGCUGCGUCUGCUCUCCAAUCCGAGCACGGUUCGCAGCCGCCGGCUUUCUCCAGAGGACCGCUCAUGAUGCGUCUCCACCACGAACGACGGAACGCGUGUGAAUAAUCCGCUGGAGAUUGCGGGAGAAUCCAGCUCCAGAAGCCGAAGGUCUGUUCGGAUGGUGAGGAGCGAGCGGGCGGUCGAGCAUCCAUGCGCCUCGGCGGACUGUUGCGAAAGACGUGGACUGUGAUCACGGCAUUUGAAUUUGGAGACCGAAGCUGCGGAUCCGCGGAGACGUCAGGGUGACCCCGUUUUGCCCAAACAGAAUGGCAAGGAUGUAAUACUGACAGGCGGCAAUAAAGGACUCGGCUAUGAGACGGUCAGACAGCUGACGAAUCUGGGAGUUUAUGUCAUAAUAGCCUCACAUGAUGAAGCGGAGGGUCUGGCCGCUGUGAAGAAGAUUUGUGAGGAGGACAGUGAAGCUCAGCACUCCAGCUGAAGGUGCGGCUGCUGUUUCUCUGGAUCUGGAAGGAGUUGGUGGAUGUUGGGUGUGUGAAGGUCAGCAGGUCCAGUCCUCAGCAGCGUCUUACGAUGAAGAUCUUCAUGCUGGACUCUGGAGAAACACCUGCGAUCUGCUGGGCCUCCAGGACUCACGCUUUGUUUAACAGAGUUCCUUCACGUUUGUAAACCGGACUAACAUCAGCGGAACUGAAGGUGGACGUCGAUCAGAUGCAGCGCAAAUGAACGAUUGACAAUCUCAUACCGGAGAACUGUGACCGACGGAGGAAAUCGAUGAAGAGUCAUGUAGCUCCUCUGUCCUAUUAUCUCUGGUUCUUCUGAAGGGCUCGGCGCUGUUGAAGGAUCUUCCCUCACUGUGAGUGUUUCUGUCAUGUGACCUUCCAGACGGUACAAAAAAAAGCUUCUUUCCACCAAAAUUUCCUGCAAAGUGCUGCUGUAGUUCAUUCUCUUCACACAAACCUCUGCUGCGUUUGCUCGAGCUCCCGCUCUCUAUUAUUAACCAAUAACAAACACUCAUUUUACCUUCUUGAAAGUCAACAUGACGGACUCAUUUACAUAUAAACAUGCUCUUAUUGUGAAUGAUUCAUCAGUGCACGUUAUUUCAAGUAAAUAAUGUCUGUCUUUGUAAUUGUUCAGCUCCAGCUAACAUAGAACGUUCCCAUAACAUUUUUUAAAGGUUAUGCAAAUGUCAUGACAGACAUUAAUAAAAUAAUGUUUAUGGAACGUCCUGAUAAUGUUUUUAAUAUUUGUUCUCAUAAUGUUGAGAGAAGUCUUCAGAACUUCAUGUUCAAUAACAUUCAUCAGUAACAACAACCGAAGAUUUCAUAGUGUUUUCAAAAUGAUAACAUGGACUGUUCCUCUAACGUUUGCAUAACCAAGAAAUGUUCUUAAUACAUAAACAAACAAACAAACUGGAUGUUUUGAACGUUUAUAAACAUUCAGAAGUAGUUUUCAUAACAGUUUCAAAAUGAUCAAAUGGAAUGUUUCUCUAACAUUUGCAAACCCAAGAAAAAAAGUCCUUUAACUAUAAAAAAAGAGAACAUUUAAAGGGGUCAUAGGAUGUUGCUAAAAAGAACAUUAUUUGGUGUAUUUGGUGUAAUGAAAUGUGUUUAUGCGGUUUAAGGUUAAAAAAAACACAUUAUUUUCCACAUACUGUACAUUAUUGUUUCUCGUCUAUGCCCCGCCUUCUGAAACGCUUCGAUUUUCACAAAGCUCAUCUCUCUGAAAAGCGAGGUGUGCUCUGAUUGGCCAGCUAUCCAGCGCAUUGUGAUUGGCCGAAUGCCUCAAGCGUGAGACGGAAAUUUUAUGCCCCUUAACAUAUUGUAUUAGCCUGUCCGGCCGGAGCGACGAGACAUAAACAUAAAACCCAUUAUAAACGUGAUAUAAACAUGAUUUCUAGUCGUGUUUUAUUUUGGAAGGCCAAACAAAGUAGUUUCGAUUUCUCAAUGAAACAGCAUCACACACGCCUUGAGUGAGAGGCGGGCGGCUUGAGGUGGAUUCUACGAAGGAGCGUACCUUGGUCGAUUUGGCGAUCCAUAGUUCAAAGUUGAUGUAUUUCCUCAGUGACCAGCACGGAUCAGCUCCAGGCAUGACGAAGCGGAUAUCGUCCUCUUUUGGAAGGCCAAACAAAGUAGUUUCUCUUUCACAGUGAAACACACAGCAUCUAUACGACAUGCGGCGGCUGCAACAACAAUACUACAACAAGAAUAAAAGGUACGCCUUCUUCCUUUGUGUGAACAUUUGGGUGGUGUUAUGCAAAUCUUCCCACAUAGUGAUGUAGAGAUGUGGGGGCGUGUUAGAACGAGCCGUUUCAGGAGGGCGUGGAUGAGUGUUAACUUUUAUAAAGAAUAUCUAUUUGGAUUUCAGACUUUAGUCUUUGCAACUUUACAGAUCUUCUUUAUUUACCAAGAGCUUGUAACACUCCAAAGAGAAAGGAAAAAUUUAAAUAGCAUCAUAUGACUCCUUUAAAUGUAACAUUCUCAUAAUGUUUUUGAAAGUGAUAGAAUGUAACAAUCCUCUAACAUUUGCAUAACCGAGAAGAAACAUAAAAAUGGGUUUUAAACCUUUAGAGAACAUUUAAAUGUAACAUUCUCGUAACGUUUGCUAAAUGAUAAAUGGAAUGUUCCUCUAACGUUCACAAAACUAAGAAACAAGUUAUUUAAACAUAAAUAUUAAGAAUUUUUAACAUUGAGAGAACAUUUAAAUGUAAUUUUUUCACAAUGAUUUCAAAAUAAUAAAUGGAAUGUUCCUCUAAUGUUCGCAAAACUACAGUAAGUUCCUUAAAUAUUAUAAAAAUGUUUUUUUAAAUGUUAAGAGGAAGUUCCCAUGUAACGUUCUCAUAACGUUUUCUAAAUGAUAGAAUGGAAAGUUUCUCUAACGUUCACAUAACCAAGACGAAACGUUCUUAAUGCAUAAUGUUUUCACAUUUAAAAAUCACUCAGAAAUAAUGUGAAAAAUUUAAUGGGAAUGUUGGCAAAACGUUGUUGGAACGUCUUUUGUUAGAUAGUCUAAACUGUUUAUCGUUAUGGUUACGAAACAGCGUUUCAUGUAUAUUUUUACUGUGGUAAAAUCACUGUACUGCACAACCUAAUGUGCUUUUUUAAAACAACAUGAUCAAAUAAACCGAAGUUCAAUCAAUAGGUACAUUUAUUAACAUUGAUAACUAGGUGAUCAGAUAUUCCACCAAGUGUAUUGUUCAUAAAUGCGAUGUUUCGGUUCUCAAGCAGCAGAAACUCGAUGCAUUAAAACAAUAUAAUUUGCAUUUACAUUUACAUUGACUUCAACAGGAUUCUGAGCGAUUCUUUUAUAAGCAACUGUAAUACGCUACAUCAUUUUAUGAAAACAUCCAUAUUUUCAUGUUCAGAACUCUUGUAAAGAAGAGCUCAUUUUACCUUCAUAUUUAUAGAAAGAAAGCUGUUAUUCUCUUUGAACUUUAUCAGAGAAUAUACCACUGUAAAAGAGUGACUGAGAUGGAUUUAUUGAUGAUGAUUAACUCUCAAACAAUUCAUGAUGUCUGAACAAACGCUCCAUUUCUUUCUGAAAUGCAGAAGUAUGACAAGCACAUAUCCAAAGGAUUUUUAUUAUAUCACAUUCACGUUUAAUGGUGCAAAAUGCACAAUUAUACUUACUUAUAAUUGAUUGACUGUCCUUUAAACACAAACACACAAAAAUCUAAGAAACUGAAAUGAAUCUUGGAAUGACUGACGCUGAAUAUUCAUUGAUAAAUCUGCCUGAAAUAAUAACAACAUUGCAUCUUCUGUGUUGUAUGCAGGUUUUGUUUUUUGUUUCAGGUCUGCUGUGUGAUAUUGAUUACUGUAGCUGUUAUUAAUAUUCUGUACUCUGAUGUCAGUGUUGUGUGUCGUGUUCACAUGCGUUUAUUUUCUUCAUGUUUCAGAAGAAAACUUGCACUGUAAAAAAGAAGAGAUUUGCUAAAGGCUUUUAUGACUGAUGAUCUUGCAUAUGAGAUUCAGCACAUUUUGUUUUUUAAGAGUUAUGCAUCAUUGCUGAAUUAUAAUAUUCAUGAUUAUGUCAUAAUCUGGUUUCUGUAGUCACUGUGAUUCUGAACAUGUUCAGUGUUUUUCUUACAGAUGUGCUUUGAUUCGUUUGUUGUUUAUGAAGUCAUGAUUACCCAUGAGCCUCUUUCUCUGAGCCAAUUCACAUGCAAUAACUGGUAAAUAUACCAACACUUGUUUUUUUCUCUGUGAUGAAAAAGUGAAGCCUCAAUCAUCCUGUCUGAAUAUUCCCUAUCAAUAUCUGCAAUAAUAAUAAUAAUAAAAUCAUGUCCUGUUUCUUUAA
ensembl:lncRNA